rnacentral:rRNA from 1 species
GAGUAACUGCGAGUGAAAAGGGAUGAGCCCAGCGCAAAAGAUGGCUUCACGUUUGUGUUGUUAUCGGUGUUGCGUAUAGAGGCGUCGUUCGUUUUCGUGCGUUUGGUCUAAGUUUCGCUGGAAUGCGGCCACAUAGAUGGUUUUAUGCCAGUCUGAUUGAAUCGUGCGUUAACGAGUGUCGUUUCUUGGAGUCGGGUUGUUUGGAAUCGCAGCCCAAAGUGGAUGGUAAACUUCAUCUAAGGCUAAAUACGACCACGAAACCAAUAGCGAACAAGUACCGUGAGGGAAAGUUGAAAAGUACUUUGAAAAGAGAGUGCAAGAGAACGUGAAAUCGAUAUAAUGGAAGCGAAUGAAGUCGACGUAUCUAACACGUAUUCAGUCGUUCGAAUUGAGGCAAUCGUCCGAGAUCGUUACAUUCCGCAAGGUUGUCGGUUUUGAUGUUGUUGUUUUGUUCGGCGACGCAUUUGCGUGUAGAGUGCGACGGGUCGGCUGGUGCCGUUGGUGGAAGCCGUCGGAGAGGGCGUGCGAUUUAACGAUCGAACGUAACCUACGACUAUUUGGCGGAGACCUGAUUGGUGCUAGUUGAUUUGUUUUCGUUUUGAAUGCUGGUGAAUUCGGUUUUGUUUUGGGUGUUCGUUGCGGCUAGGCGUUGAACGCAUGCGUACGGCGUUUAGUUGUGCGGACAUUUUGAAUGAAACAACAGUCAUUCAACCGGUCGUAUAGUCGGUCACUCAUUCGACCCGUCUUGAAACACGGACCAAGGAGUUUAUAGUACACGCAAGUCAUUGAGUGUUUGCAAAGCUCAAAGGCGUAAUGAAAGUGAAAUCGUUUCAACGAUUCGAACGUGAUCGGUUAGUUUCAUUUAGUUGGCUGGCCGAGCAACGUUACCCCAUUCCGUGAACUUGUUCUGGUGUGGAGGUUGAGCGUGUGCAAUGAGACCCGAAAGAUGGUGAACUAUGCCUGAACAGGACGAAGCCAGAGGAAACUCUGGUGGAAGUCCGAAGCGGUUCUGACGUGCAAAUCGAUCGUCUGAUUUUGGUAUAGGGGCGAAAGACUAAUC